GACGAACGCUGGCGGCGUGCUUAACACAUGCAAGUCGAACGGAAAGGCCCUGCUUUUGUUGGGUGCUCGUGUGGCGAACGGGUGAGUAACACGUGAGUAACCUGCCCUUGACUUUGGGAUAACUUCAGGAAACUGGGGCUAUUACCGGAUAGGAGCUCCUGCUGCAUGGUGGUGGUUGGAAAGUUUCGGCGGUUGGGGAUGGACUCGCAGCUUCACAGCUUGUUGGUGGGGUAGUGGCUUACCAAGGCUUUGACGGGUAGCCGGCCUGAGAGGGUGACCGGCGACAUUGGGACUGAGAUACGGCCCAGACUCGUACGGGAGGCAGCAGUGGGAAAUAUUGCACAAUGGGCGGAAGCCUGAUGCAACAACGCCGCGUGCGGGAUAACGGCCUUCGAGUUAUAAACCGAUUUCGCCUGUGACGAAGAGUGAGUGACGGUAAUGAGUAAAGAAGCACCGGCUAACUACGUG
rnacentral:rRNA from 1 species